UACAGAGGGUGCGAGCGUUAAUCGGAAUUACUGGGCGUAAAGCGUGCGCAGACGGUUAUGUAAGUCGGGUGUGAAAGCCCCGGGCUCAACCUGGGAAUUGCAUUCGAGACUGCAUAGCUAGGGUGCGGAAGAGGGAAGCGGAAUUUCCGGUGUAGCGGUGAAAUGCGUAGAUAUCGGAAGGAACACCAGUGGCGAAAGCGGCUUCCUGGUCCAGCACCGACGUUCAGGCACGAAAGCGUGGGGAGCAAACAGG
rnacentral:rRNA from 1 species